GUUCCUGUAUGAUCACCAAAGUUAAGCAACAUUGAGCCUGGUUAGUAUCUAGAUGGGUGACCACUUGGGAAUACCAGGUGCUGUAAG